GGGGUCGGUUCCGGUCCCGGUGUCGCUGAUCCCGGUUCUGGUCUCAGUUGGCCUUUAUGUUCUACCUGCUGACCUACGUCGGGGCCGUGUUCAAUGGGGUGACGCUGCUCGGAGUGGGUGUGAUCUGCGCCUUCACCUUCCCUGUGCUCUAUCGGCACUACAAGACUCAGAUCGAUCACUACAUGAAUAUGGGGAGGAGCCACCUGAGGCAGCUCCGUGCCAGGUAAGGGGUCUUUAAGCCCCCCCCCCUU